rnacentral:rRNA from 1 species
UACAGAGGGUGCGAGCGUUGUUCGGAAUUACUGGGCGUAAAGCGCGCGCAGGCGGCCUUUUAAGUCUGACGGUGAAAUGCCGGGGCUCAACCCCGUGCCCGCCGGAGAUACUGGGAGGCUGGAGACGAGUAGAGGCAAGCGGAAUUCCGGGUGUAGCGGUGGAAUGCGUAGAGAUCCGGAAGAACACCGGAGGCGAAGGCGGCGUGGUGGGCUCGGUCUGACGCUGAGGCGCGAAAGCGUGGGGAGCGAACAGG